rnacentral:scRNA from 1 species
CUGCCGCGGGAACUCCACUGCCAUCCGCUCCU